rnacentral:lncRNA from 1 species
AGAAGAGCCAGGAAGGGUGCAAGGUACAGGCUGAGGAACCUUUCACUGUUGUACAGAGAGCAAUGCGAUAGAAAAACUGCUUACAUGUUCAAGCGAGUCUCCUGCCUCAGCCUCCUGAGUAGCUGGGACUACACGUGUGUGCCACCAUGCCUGGGUAUUUCCUAUAUCUUCCUGUCUUUUCCAUGGCCAAAAAUGAUCAAGUAAAGAACAUUAAAGAAGAAAUAAAUUACUACAUAUUAAAAAAUACAUACUGUAAGAUGUUCUUUGUACAAAAAUGUGACAACUUCAAUAAGAGUAACUUGGACAACCUGAGGCAUUAAUUGAGGAUCAAUAUGAUGACUUUACAUUGAGAAUCACAUAUACCCUCUGAAUAAAUUUAAAAAAUGAAAUUUUUUAAUUUUCAUUAAAAAUUAAAUUUUUUUGAGUGAUGAAAAUACUCAAUCACAUUAUUUUCAAAUUGUUGAUAAGCAUGGAAAUUAUCAGAGAACCAGAAUAUUCAAGGUUUAUCUUUCCUGUUUUUGUCUUAAAUCACAACUAUGUGUUAAAUAAUUUGUAUGACCUAUUUCAGUGGCAGUAGGUUAAAUAAAAUUCUGUUUGUAUCUCC